rnacentral:lncRNA from 11 species
GCAAGUGCCAUCCAGGGAGCAGUUGGCAGUAUGUAACUCCCUAUAGUGUCAAAAGCCCUGAAAGAGCCAGAAUGUGUCACUCAGGAGACUAGAACCAAUGAAUGCCUGGUAGGAGGUCUGCUCUCUUUCUCCCUAUACAGGCUGGGAGUGCUGGUGCUAGGGCUUCUCCUGCCUGUGUGUUAUGUGCAGGGUGGGAAAAAAAGGGGAGAGAGAGGGGGAGAAAAAUCAGACAACUGACUGCCUGUCCCCAUCUCUCUCUCUCUCUCUCUCUCUCUCUGUAGCUCACUAACUCACUCUCCCUCCCUCUGCAAACAUUGGAUUUAAACCUACUCAGAAUUCAGCACAGAGGAAAGCGGCAAGCCGAACCGCUUCAGACUACUGCAGCUCUUCAAGAUGUAUCAUCCUGCUUGCUGGAUCGUCUUCACGGCCACAACUGCCCUGUUCUUCAUCCCAGGUAAGUGGCAUUUACUUAUUGUUGAAUCUCACAAAAAAAGUCGAGAUGUAGGGAUGCAAAACAUCCCCCCUCCUCACCUCAACCCCGUUGGCAGUUUCUUGGCAGGUAAACCUAAAUUUCCCUUUCCUUUGUUCCUGGGUGAAACUGUUUUCUUUUGUUCUCUUUCUCAACCUCGACCUCAGUUUGUGGAAAGCGAGCAGGAG